rnacentral:rRNA from 1 species
UGGGGAAUUUUGGACAAUGGGGGAAACCCUGAUCCAGCCAUCCCGCGUGUGCGAUGAAGGCCUUCGGGUUGUAAAGCACUUUUGGCAGGAAAGAAACGUCGCGGGUUAAUACCCCGCGAAACUGACGGUACCUGCAGAAUAAGCACCGGCUAACUACGUGCCAGCAGCCGCGGUAAUACGUAGGGUGCAAGCGUUAAUCGGAAUUACUGGGCGUAAAGCGUGCGCAGGCGGUUCGGAAAGAAAGAUGUGAAAUCCCAGAGCUUAACUUUGGAACUGCAUUUUUAACUACCGGGCUAGAGUGUGUCAGAGGGAGGUGGAAUUCCGCGUGUAGCAGUGAAAUGCGUAGAUAUGCGGAGGAACACCGAUGGCGAAGGCAGCCUCCUGGGAUAACACUGACGCUCAUGCACGAAAAGCGUGGGGAGCAAAACAGGAUUAGAUACCCUGGUAGUCCACGCCCUAAACGAUGUCAACUAGCUGUUGGGGCCUUCGGGCCUUGGUAGCGCAGCUAACGCGUGAAGUUGACCGCCUGGGGAGUACGGUCGCAAGAUUAAAACUCAAAUGAAUUG